UAUAAGAUUAUUUUAUUCUAGUUAAAUAUUUUAUUAUUAUUUUAUUUUACAUGUAAAUUUUUGUGUGAAAUUUUAUUAAUUUUAAAAAUUAAUAAUUUUUAAUCUAUUCGCAGUAAUUAAUAUUAAUUAUAAAAGAAAUUUUGAAUUAGUAAUAAUAUAUAGUAUUGGUAAAAUUUGUGCCAGCUACUGCGGUUAUACAAAUGAUGCAAAUAAAAAUUUUUAGUAUUAGUUAAAUUGUUUAUGAUUAUAUAAUUUAUUUAUAAAUUUAUUAGGUGAAAUUUUUAAAUUUAUUUAUUAUUAUAGAAAUGAUUAAUUUAAGCUAUAAAAAUUUUAUAAUAAACUAGGAUUAGAUACCCUAUUAUUAAAAUUAAAUAUAUAAAAAUACUUAAGUAGUAUUAGUUAUAUUCUUAAAAUUUAAAGAAUUUGGCGGUGUUUUAGUCUAUUUAGAGGAAUCUGUUCUGUAAUUGAUAAUCCACGUUGGACCUUACUUAAUUUUGUUUUCAAUUUGUAUAUCGCCGUCAUCAGAAUAUAUUAUAAGAUUAAUAAUUUUCUUAAUAUUUUAUUAAAUAAUAUGUCAGGUCAAGGUGCAGUUUAUGAUUAAGUAGAAAUGGAUUACAAUAAAUAUAUUUAUAUGGAUAAUUUUUUGAAAUAAAAAUUUGAAGGUGGAUUUAAUAGUAAUAUAAAAGAGAUUAUUUAUAUGAUUAUAGUUCUAAAACAUGCACACAUCGCCCGUCGCUCUCAUUUUUAAAAUGAGAUAAGUCGUAACAUAGUAGAUGUACUGGAAAGUGUAUCUAGAAUGAC
rnacentral:ncRNA from 1 species